rnacentral:rRNA from 1 species
UACGAAGGGGGCUAGCGUUGUUCGGAAUCACUGGGCGUAAAGAGCUCGUAGGCGGUUUGUUGCGUCGGCUGUGAAAUCCCGAGGCUCAACCUCGGGUCUGCAGUCGAUACGAGCAAACUAGAGUGUUGCAGGGGAGACUGGAAUUCCUGGUGUAGCGGUGAAAUGCGCAGAUAUCAGGAGGAACACCGGUGGCGAAGGCGGGUCUCUGGGCAACAACUGACGCUGAGGAGCGAAAGCGUGGGGAGCGAACAGG